rnacentral:other from 1 species
GCGAAGCUGCGGGGUGCGUCAGGAGCAUUAUUCCCCGGGGCCUUAUCGAUCCUUAAGGGAGCUGUCCCUGACCGGACCCGUGGGUCCGGACACACGGUGCCCACCUACUUUCGUAGGGAACCCGGGAUCGAGCCUCCAACGGCCACUGCGGCUUCGCA